CGAAGUUAGAGGUUCGAAGGCGAUCAGAUACCGCCCUAGUUCUAACCAUAAACGAUGACAGCCAGCGAUCCGGCUGCGUUCCUCAAAUGACGCGCCGGGCAGCUUCCGGGAAACCAAAGCUUUUAGUUUCCGGGGGUAGUAUGGUUGCAAAGCUGAAACUUAAAGGAAUUGACGGAGGGCUACCACCAGGCGUGGAUCUUGCGGUUCAAUUUGACUCAACGCAGCGAACUCUACCAGGCCAGGACACAAGUAGGAUUGACAGAUUAAGAGCUCUUUCUUGAUUUUGUGGGUAGUGGUGCAUGGCCGCUCUUGGUUCGUGUAGUGAUUUGUCUGGUUAAUUCUGAUAACGGACGAGGCUCUAGCCUACUAAAUAGACGCUCGGAUCAUUCCUAGUCCGGCGUUUCUUCUUAGAGGGACUGGCGGCGUUCAGCCGCACGAGGUUGAGCAAUAGCAGGUCUGUAAUGCCCUUAGAUGUCCUGGGCCACACGCGUGAUACAUUGAAGGAAUCAGCGUGUGCUUUCCCUGUCCGACAGGACUGGGUAACCCGUUGAACCUCCUUCGUGCUGGGGAUAGGGGAUUGAAAUUGUCCCCCUUGAACGAGGAACGCCUAGUAAGCGCGAGUCAUCAUCUCGCGUUGAUUAAGUCCCUGGCCCUUGGCCACACCGCCCGUCGCUAUUACCGAAUGAAUGUCCUAGUGAAGACUUUCCGAAUGGCUGUCGAUUUGGCUUUAGGUCGAGGCGACGUGCGAGAGAUGUCCAACUUGGUCAUUUAGAGAAAUAAAGUCGUACAGUAC
rnacentral:rRNA from 1 species